rnacentral:lncRNA from 1 species
GGCUGCAAUUGCCCGGGGUCUGCUGGAGGAGGGCCAUAAGUAUGUAAAGGUAUGUGUUACCUCACUCAGGAUGAUGCUCUCCAGGUCCAUCCAAGGAACUCACACAAUAUGUACUCACUGAUAAGUGGAUAUUAGCCCAAAACCUAGGAUACCCACGAUAUAAGAUACAAUUUCCUAAACACAUGAAACUCAAGAAAAAUGAAGACUGAAGUGUGGACACUAUGCCCCCUCCUUAGAAGUGGGAACAAAACACCCAUGGAGGGAGUUACAGAAACAAAGUUUGGAGCUGAGAUGAAAGGAUGGACCAUAUAGAGACUACCAUAUCCAGGGAUCCACCCCAUAAUCAGCAUCCAAAUGCUGACACCAUUGCACACACUAGCAAGAUUUUACUGAAAGGACCCAGAUGUAGCUGUCUCUUGUGAGACUAUGCCGGGGCCUAGCAAACACAGAAGUGGAUGCCCACAGUCAGCUAAUGGAUGGAUCACAGGGCUGUAGCUCGGUGGUUGAGUCUGGUCCCUCUGGGCUCUGAGCUCUCCAGCUUUGGUUUCCAGCAGCUGGUCCCUCUUCCGCAUCACCAGCAGCACCCUGUUGAGAGAUCUGGGAGGGGAUCAGUUGGGGAUAUUGGGGUGGGGUGUAACACCAUUCUGGAGGUUCUUCUAUCUCUGGAUAGAUCCUGGAAGGAGCCGAGGGCUGUGGUUCAGCCCCCACAGUUUUUAUCUUAGUUUUUGUUUUUUUGUUUUUGUUUUUUGUUUUUGUUUUUGUUUUUUGUUUUUCUGAGUCACGGAGAGCCAGGACUCGGGACCCCGGCUUGUUUCUCUGAACCCAAGGCUUCAAACAGGAUGGGGGGGGGGUCCUGCGUUAAAUUUUCCCAGAUGAGAAUAUAGGGCACUUGAUCUGGUUGAGAUCCUGCCCUCCUCUGCAUAACAACAUGUUUAAUGGCAGAAAUCACAAUCAAAUCAAGAGUGCCCUCUGGUGGCCAACCAACAUCAAAAGCUGGCCAUUCUGUAGAGCAGAAAGUUCUCCAAAAUCUCUUUCUUAUAUCUAGAGACAGAUUGUGAGCCCUAGUCUUAAUUUCAGUCCAUCUAAGGGGAGUGCUAAUAGCCUGUCCCAUCGUCAGAGUCACAUACAGGGAAACAAACAAUAUAUACACACAAAAAGAUUACAAUAACUGAGACCAGGACCCAAUCAGAUGGCUGAGUGAGCACACUCUCACUUGGCACCCAGGAACAGAAACAGAUGGCCGAGUGAGCACACUCUCACUUGGCACCCAGGAACAGAAACAGAGGGCC